UACGUAGGUGGCAAGCGUUGUUCGGAAUUACUGGGCGUAAAGCGCGUGUAGGCGGCUCUUCAAGUCAGACGUGAAAGCCCCGGGCUUAACUCGGGAACUGCGUUUGAUACUGUCGAGCUAGAGUGUGGAGGGGGCGAUUGGAAUUCCGUGUGUAGCGGUGAAAUGCGUAGAUAUACGGAGGAACACCAGAGGCGAAGGCGGAUCGCUGGGCCAACACUGACGCUGAGACGCGAAAGCUAGGGGAGCAAACGGG
rnacentral:rRNA from 1 species